UAAAUUGGCUGGACUAGCAGCUGACCCAGAUAACGGAGAAAUAGACAGCAACAUACUAGACAUCAAUGAAGAACAAGAAUUAAUUGCCCAUCAGCAGCAGUUACCUGCCCUUGUCAUAGAGAACCUUGGCAUGGAGCCAAACAAUAUGAGAGUUCUCUCCCCUGUACAGCUGAUAGAGUUAUACAUCUCAGGAACAAACAUUGAUGCCACGGAAUAUGAUUUCAAGAAAGCACUGGAUCUCUUACAAUACAUAGACAAGGUAAAUGUAUA